rnacentral:rRNA from 1 species
GACGAACGCUGGCGGCGUGCUUAACACAUGCAAGUCGAACGGAAAGGCCCUGCUUGCAGGGUACUCGAGUGGCGAACGGGUGAGUAACACGUGGGUGAUCUGCCCUGCACUUCGGGAUAAGCCUGGGAAACUGGGUCUAAUACCGGAUAGGAGCCAUUUUUAGUGUGAUGGUUGGAAAGUUUUUUCGGUGUAGGAUGAGCUCGCGGCCUAUCAGCUUGUUGGUGGGGUAAUGGCCUACCAAGGCGGCGACGGGUAGCCGGCCUGAGAGGGUGGACGGCCACAUUGGGACUGAGAUACGGCCCAGACUCCUACGGGAGGCAGCAGUGGGGAAUAUUGCACAAUGGGCGCAAGCCUGAUGCAGCGACGCCGCGUGGGGGAUGACGGCCUUCGGGUUGUAAACUCCUUUCGCUAGGGACUAAGCUUUUUGUGACGGUACCUAGAUAAGAAGCACCGGCUAACUACGUG